GUAGGUGGCAAGCGUUGUCCGGAAUUAUUGGGCGUAAAGCGCGCGCAGGCGGUUCUUUAAGUCUGAUGUGAAAGCCCACGGCUCAACCGUGGAGGGUCAUUGGAAACUGGAGAACUUGAGUACAGAAGAGGAAAGCGGAAUUCCACGUGUAGCGGUGAGAUGCGUAGAGAUGUGGAGGAACACCAGUGGCGAAGGCGGCUUUCUGGUCUGUAACUGACGCUGAGGCGCGAAAGCGUGGGGAGCAAACAGGAUUAGAUACCCUGGUAGUCCACGCCGUAAACGAUGAGUGCUAAGUGUUAGGGGGUUUUCCGCCCCCCUUAGUGCUGCAGCUAACGCAUUAAGCACUCCGCCUGGGAGUACGGCCGCAAGGCUG
rnacentral:rRNA from 1 species